UGUAUCCUCUUUUAUUCUCUCACUCACACGACAAUCUAGGCCGAGCACAGCCCUCUCUAUCCACAAGGCCUUACGACCUUACACACGGCCUAUAACUGGAAUUUCUAACUGAUCCACAACACGGGCGUAUUAAUAUACUCCCUCAGAACACAGGGUCCCAUUUAACUUUUGACUCAAGAGGCACAUAAGCAUGCACCUUGCCUUCCACUGCAGGCAUACUCCAG